rnacentral:rRNA from 1 species
UACGAAGGGGGCUAGCGUUGUUCGGAAUUAUUGGGCGUAAAGAGCUCGUAGGCGGUUUGUCGCGUCUGCUGUGAAAGACCGGGGCUCAACUCCGGUUCUGCAGUGGGUACGGGCAGACUAGAGUGCAGUAGGGGAGACUGGAAUUCCUGGUGUAGCGGUGAAAUGCGCAGAGUAUCAGGAGGAACACCAGUGGCGAAGGCGGUCUCCUGGGGCAUUCUUGACGCUGAGGCGCGAAAGCUGGGGGAGCGAACGGG